rnacentral:rRNA from 1 species
UACGAAGGGGGCGAGCGUUGUUCGGAUUCAUUGGGCGUAAAGGGUGCGUAGGUGGCGCUGUAAGUCGGGUGUGAAAUUUCGGAGCUUAACUCCGAAACUGCAUUCGAUACUGCGGUGCUUGAGGGCUGGAGAGGAGACUGGAAUUCAUGGUGUAGCAGUGAAAUGCGCAGAUAUCAGGAGGAACACCGGUGGCGAAGGCGGGUCUCUGGGCCGAUACUGACGCUGAGGAGCGAAAGCGUGGGGAGCGAACAGG